rnacentral:rRNA from 1 species
AGAGUUUGAUCCUGGCUCAGAAAUCAACGCUGGCGGCGUGCCUCAGACAUGCAAGUCGAACGAGAAAGUUCCCUUCGGGGAAUGAGUAAAGUGGCGCACGGGUGAGUAACACGUAGGUAAUCUACCUUCGGGUGGGGAAUAACCCAGGGAAAACUUGGGCUAACACCGCAUAAUGCAGCGGCACCACAUGGUGACAGUUGUUAAAGCGGGGGAUUUUCGAACCUCGCGCCUGAAGAGGAGCCUGCGGCAGAUUAGCUAGUUGGUAAGGUAACGGCUUACCAAGGCGAUGAUCUGUAGCCGGCCUGAGAGGGCGGUCGGCCACACUGACACUGACAUACGGGUCAGACUCCUACGGGAGGCAGCAGUCGGGAAUUUUGGGCAAUGGGCGAAAGCCUGACCCAGCAACGCCGCGUGAAGGAUGAAAUCCCUCGGGAUGUAAACUUCGCAAGAAUGGGAAGAAUUAGUAGGGGUUAAUACCCUCUAUGAUGACGGUACCAUUUGUAAGCUCCGGCUAACUCCGUGCCAGCAGCCGCGGUAAUACGGGGGGAGCAAGCGUUGUUCGGAUUUACUGGGCGUAAAGGGCGCGUAGGCGGUCAGCACAAGUCAGUUGUGAAAUCUCCGGGCUUAACUCGGAAAGGUCAACUGAUACUGUGCGACUAGAGUGCAGAAGGGGCAACUGGAAUUCUCGGUGUAGCGGUGAAAUGCGUAGAUAUCGAGAGGAACACCUGCGGCGAAGGCGGGUUGCUGGGCUGACACUGACGCUGAUGCGCGAAAGCCAGGGGAGCGAACGGGAUUAGAUACCCCCGUAGUCC